rnacentral:tRNA from 1 species
CCGCCUGGUGGGAGACCCGGCUGCUCGUGCUCUGCUCCGGCGCGGCGCGCCUGGACCGCCCCCGGGCGGUGGCGUUCCUGGCCACGUCGGGCGGG